rnacentral:lncRNA from 1 species
GUGAUUUGGCCUUGGUUUCAGUCAAGCAGCUGAUGCAGAGGAGGGCCCGGUUUGUAGGGCUGGCAAAGUGCACACUAAAGAAAGAAGAAAUUUAAAAAAAAAAAAAAAAAAAAAAAAAAAAAGCCCCCGUUCUAGGGAGGUUUCUCUCUCUCUCUUUUUCUUUUUCAAAAAUUUUUAACUGAAUAUUUUCCAAAUUUGAUCAGCCCAGCCCCUCCCUCCAUUCCCAGCCAACUGCCUUUUUUUUCUCUCGUGAAAACAUAAACUACAGAGUUACAGUCUCUAGAUUUGGUGUAUCGCUUCCUGCCCCCGCCUCCCCCUCCCCGCCCCGCUCUCUGUCCUCUAUUGAAACACCUCGCCCAGCCUAGCGCACUGCGAGCUCACAUUCUCCCCCUUGCCCGGGAUGGUGCUGCUGGAGGCUGUGCAGCCCGGCUCCGCUUCGAACGGUUGUGUCGAUGUUCCUUUCAGCUGGUCCUAUAGCCCCCCUCCUCAGGAAUGUCUUCCUAGUGAAAGGACAAAGGCUGCAGAGACUGCUAUAUUGAUGGACCCUCACGCCAACUGUGAAGUUGAAACAAAGAAAGUGACCACCUGAAGACACCUCUCCUGUCCAGCAACACACCCAAAUGUGCAGUUUCAGCCAAUAAAACCCUCAGAAUAAGAGCAAUCUUUUCAAGAAACAGAAAAACCCAGUACUGACAUCUAGAUCUCUGAUGAGCCAAGAACUUACCCUUCCUUGUGUGUAUUCCUCUGUUUGUAUUUAAAUUCAUGUGACAUUCAUUUUCUUUCCUACUAUGAAUAUGAUUGUUAAUGCACUAGCUUUAGAAUCUAAAUGGGCACAAAUGUGCUACUGUGUUAAGGAACAAAAUCAAUGCCAUAAGGAGAAUGAUUUUUAGCCACACAUAGAAUUUCUUCUUCAGAGCAACCUAGAAAAUUAAAAGUACCCUAGAAAUAACAAGGCAGUCACAGGCAAGUCAAAGGAUCAAGUAAUGGGAGAUAUUCAGAGUGCAGCAUAGAAAUGUCACACAAUUUCACCUGACACCAACCCAUCAACCAUUAUUUUUAUAAAGAAGGCUCUGUUCUGUGCUAUCUGGUCAGCUCGUAAGAAGUUUCAAUCUAGUUAGAUGAAGUGACAUAAACUUUUGAAAAGAUGAAUAACUCAUUGGGUCAGAGGAUGAUAAGAGCCAAAGUGGAACAAAAGGUAUAGAUAAUGAGCUCAAAAAAGGUUGUCAUGACAUGGGUGGAACUGACUUUUGGGGGAAGAAAACUCCCCAAAGAGGAAAAUGUGAGAUGAAUCUUGAAGGACUCAAAAAUUUAGAUAAAUGAAAGGUAGGAGAAACAGACCACCAUUGGACAUGAUGGGAGGAGGAAAUACGGAUACAUGGUACAUUUAGGAGACGAUGACUUCACCCCAGACAUUCAGCACCAGUCCCUGUGUAUCUGAUGAACACUACACACAUACCUCCCCUCACCUAGACACCUGCUGCUGAAGGAAAUGAGGGUAAUUGGUGACAAUAUGAAGAAUUCAUGAUUUUUCUGUUCAUAAUAAUUGAUAUUUAUUAAGUUCUCACUGUAUAUUUUUUCCAUAUAAACUCAAGCCUCACAACAGCUAAGCAAAUUAGGUAAUAUUAUCCCCAUCUUACAGGCAGCAAAACAGGUUUAAGGAGGUUUGCCAAGGUGCCAGGUAUAGAGACUCACAAUCAGGAUUGUGACUGCAAAACACAUGAUCUAACGCAAGAAGUCACAAUAUUGCGAUCAAUGUCCAGAGGAUCACCUUUUUUUAAUAUUUCUUGAUAGUUGUGGGGUUUUUAUUGAGUUAUCACCUCAAUCUUUUCAGCUUUAUAGUUUUUAGUUAUUCAGCACAUUCUAUCACUGUAGUUGCAGUAGAGUGAUAGAAUCAUGCAAAACUGGGGGAGUAGAGCUUGUCACCAUUUUAGACAUUUCUUUUUUUGUUUUCUUUUUCCUUCUUUCUUAUUUUGUUUCCUUUGCUAGAUUUUGAUGAGAUUUUCUACUUUGUUCUACAAGAAAUGACACAUCCUUGAAAACAAAAAAGGGAGGGGCUUAAUCACUUAUCACAAUAUCCCUUUUUUACAGAUAAGACAAAUCAUUAUGUAAGUUUAGAGUGACUUAUAGAAGGUCACAUAUUUAACUGUGGCAGAUCAAGGAGCAGAAACCAGGCCCGAAAUGGUUCUUGAAUUACUACUCCACCCUGCCUAAAUGAUGCAUGACCUUGAAUUUGAUUAGAGGAAACACUCUAUCUAGGUAAUCAGGGGGCAUUGUACUGAGUAGGUGGCUUCAAUCUGCACCUCUUUGGCAUCCCAGGUCAGUGUGAAAUGUAGCUAGCUAUACAUGUCUUUACAUCCAUAAAUGGCCAACAUCCACUCCCAAAGAACACACAGUAGCCA